CCUCCGGUAGCUCAGUUUUGGUAGAGAGCGCUGGUCUGUUGGCGUAGCCUGCCGCAGGCUUAAAAUCAGAGGUCGUCGGUUCGAUUCCGACCUGGGGGA
rnacentral:tRNA from 1 species